UGAAGUUGACGAGGCAAUCAAAAGAGGAAGAAUCAACACUUUUUAUGAAGGUGGUAGAAAACGUCUUGUUUUUGACGAUAUACCGUCUGGUGCGCAAACUGGUCAUCUGUGUAGGCCGAAAAUCACUUGACACCCAGACUACUAAUGAUGAAUGGUAGGUAGGGUAGGUAUGUAAAUUAUAAUCUAUAAGUUGUUGUUUUAUGCCAAAAUGUCUGUGUAAAGAGAUUUUUAAAACAGCAUGUGAUGUUUUUUUUGUUUGUUUUUUUCCGGACAACACCCCGUGCAGCGGGUUCCCUCUAUCACAAUCGUCCUGGUCACCGCCAUCACCAUCAUUGUCAACACCGUCUCCUCCAUCUUCUCCUUCUCAGCCGCCCUGGACAUCUCCCCCAUCACCUCGAUCAUCCCCAUCUCUUCCUCCAUCUCUGAUGAUCAGGGCACCCCGAUAUCUCCACUGUCUCCACCACCCCCUGCUGACUCACACAAUGCGGUCAGGUGUGAUGAUUGUGUGCUGGACUGGACCGGAGCAUCCUCAUUUCAGCCCACGAGCUGCCACCGGCUGCUUCAGCUAAGAUCAUGGACCAGUUUCUCUCUGCCCUGAGAGAAAGGGGCGUUCCUGAGGAGAACCUCAGAAGAAUGGCAGAGGACAAGCAGUGCACAGGCAGUUGGCGUUUACACUGAGUGUGGAUUUCAAAAAAAAGAAUACAAAAAUAUACAAUGUUAAACACUCAUAAUUACAGCGGAAGUGAAUAUAAUUGUUUUCUCAGAAAUAAACAGGAAC